UACAGGGGGUGCAAACGUUGCUCGGAAUCAUUGGGCGUAAAGAGCUCGUAGGCGGUCUGUUGCGUCCGCUGUGAAAACUCGGGGCUUAACCCCGAGCCUGCAGUGGAUACGGGCAGACUAGAGGUAGGUAGGGGAGAAUGGAAUUCCCGGUGUAGCGGUGAAAUGCGCAGAUAUCGGGAGGAACACCGGUGGCGAAGGCGGUUCUCUGGGCCUUACCUGACGCUGAGGAGCGAAAGCGUGGGGAGCGAACAGG
rnacentral:rRNA from 1 species